UACGGGGGGGGCAAGCGUUGUUCGGAAUUACUGGGCGUAAAGGGCUCGUAGGUGGCCAACUAAGUCAGACGUGAAAUCCCUCAGCUUAACUGGGGAACUGCGUCUGAUACUGGAUGGCUUGAGUUUGGGAGAGGGAUGCGGAAUUCCAGGUGUAGCGGUGAAAUGCGUAGAUAUCUGGAGGAACACCGGUGGCGAAGGCGGCAUCCUGGACCAACACUGACACUGAGGAGCGAAAGCCAGGGGAGCAAAUGGG
rnacentral:rRNA from 1 species